AGCACUAAACCCAGGGGAAAAAGGGACCUUGGAUCAUCCAUAAAGACCCUGAGAACCAGAGCUCAGUCUGAGGGCAGCAGCAUUUGGACAGCUCCAUGCAAUGAGGCCACAGAACAAAGCCAGGUGAAAUUAAAGCAAGGCUGUACUGAAAUCAAGCAACCAAAGUGCACUCUGAGAAACAGAGAAAUAUUCCUGAAUAAAAAGCAUCCACCAGAGGGGCAGAAAGGUUGAUACAACUGUUAUUUACCCUUCCCAUGCUGGCUGAGAGGUGCUGGAUGAGCCUCAGAAGUCACCUGAGUGUGUUUGUGACAUUUCACCCAAGGAAAAUCCAACUUUUUCACUCUUUCCUGUACUUAUUGCCCAAAUCCCUCACACUUUUCCCUCUGGAGCAGAGAAGGAGGGAGCUGGGUUAAAAUGCAAACAUUUUAUAAUGAAACUGUGCCUUCUCUUUUUAAUUCUGAGUGGGAGACAAUGAGAUUCAAACAAGCCUUUGCUCCUUCAUUGUUCCAAAGCCUUGGGAAUGUUUAUCAUUUCAAAAUAAAAAAGUGAAAUUUCAAGAGAGGAGUGAUUCC
rnacentral:lncRNA from 1 species